rnacentral:rRNA from 1 species
UACGAAGGGGGCUAGCGUUGUUCGGAAUUACUGGGCGUAAAGCGCGCGCAGGCGGCUCUUCUAGUCAGGGGUGAAAGCCCAGAGCUCAACUCUGGAACUGCCUUUGAGACUGAAGAGCUUGAGUACGGGAGAGGUGAGUGGAAUUCCCGGUGUAGAGGUGAAAUUCGUAGAUAUCGGGAGGAACACCGGUGGCGAAGGCGGCGAUCUGGGUAGAUACUGACGCUGAGGUGCGAAAGCGUGGGGAGCAAACAGG